rnacentral:rRNA from 1 species
AUACGUAGGAUGCGAGCGUUGUCCGGAUUUACUGGGUGUAAAGGGUGCGCAGGCGGGACUGUAAGUCAGAGGUGAAAGCCCGGAGCUUAACUCCGGAACGGCCUUUGAUACUGCGGUUCUUGAAUCUGAUAGAGGCUCAUGGAAUAUGUGGUGUAGCGGUGAAAUGCGUAGAUAUCACAUAGAACACCAGUGGCGAAGGCGGUGAGCUGGGUCAUUAUUGACGCUCAUGCACGAAAGUGUGGGUAGC